UGGCGCCCAACGUGAGAGCUCAAGUACGAGGGACACAGUGAGGGACGCCGUCGAGGUCAGCUGGCACGGAAGGAUUAAGAAACCCAGAGGAAAGCAUCAUGGGAACCUGCCAAGGACUCGCACUCUGGUAAGCAGAUGGCGAAUAUGGGACAGGAAAUCAGCCAGCAUGAGUUGUUCAUAGAGAGUUUAAGUAAGGCUUUAAAGGUGCGGGGAGUAAAGGUGAAAAUAAAACGAUUGUGUAAAUAUUUUGACUAUAUUCAGGAUGUCUGCCCUU
rfam:Callithrix jacchus chromosome 4, whole genome shotgun sequence